AGCCUCUGAAAGGGCUGAGAGAUACUUGUCUCUCUUUGAGAGGCUUGUAAAUAAAUUAUAACAUAUAUAUAAUUUAGAUUUAAUGUUUCAACUCCUGAUUAUUGUUUGUUUGUUGUACUUUUCUUACAUGAAUAUAAUAAUAAUUUUAGAAGUUGAGUUUCAGUCUGUAUGGAAGAUAAAUAAACAGUUAUACAUAAAGUGGUAACAUGCAGGUUAUUGAGACUUAAGGUGAGACACCAAAGCUUAUAAUGGUGAUCAGAACAAUGUCACCUUCUCAAAAUGACAUCUGUUACAUAGUUAGAAUACUUGUACUACUUGUAGACAGCCAUCAAAUUUUUCAUGCUUCUUUCUAACUAUGAUUAACAGAGGCGGUUUUUUUCCGUUGUCAUUGCCAUUCUAUGAGGUGCGUAUUUAAAAAACAAAAUAGUUAAUAACCAUAUGCACAAUCACUUUUAAUUAUUCACCAAUAAAACAAUAACAAUAACAAUUUAACUAAUCUAAUGAUGAUUAUAAUAACAAUUGUAACAAUAACAUUUUCAUGUCACAGUGUUCACCGGACAUGUAACCUCGGGGUUUACCCCCUUAGUUAUUAUCAUGCUCCCUCAGACAUGCAGACAGCUCUCCAGGGGCAGACACAUGUGCAGCAAGUCUGGCAUGGAGAUUAUUUCCUGAGAGCUCCUGAUCAUCAUCAGGAAUGUUCUCCCAAUCUUCUUCAUCCUCCUCGUGAUGUUCCUCCUCCUCCUCCGGGAUGUUGACAGACAGAGGUUGUGGAGGAUGCAGCAUGCUGAUAUUACUGGGGGGGCAAAUAGAGGCCAAAUCUCCAAAGCCCUCAAGAAGAUGGCUCAAUGACGUUCCUGUCCUUGGCAUGGUGCUUUUUAAAGUGUGCUUCAACUUGGCCUGAUGAUUAAAAUAUAGGCUGGCAGUAUGGUAUCACAAGGGAGGCAGGAUGCUGCAGGCAUGGGUACCCCUCUCUCCAAGUAGAAAGAAGCCAGCUGGUGGAUAGAGGGACUCCUUGUACAUCAGAGAUCUCUGGAGGAGAAGGGCAUCAUGGACUGACCCUGGUUGCCAAUCAGGUGGGAGUAUUCUGAUGUGGCACCCAUCUAUGGCACCAGCCGCACAGCGGAAAGCCUCAUGGCCAGCCAGGCGAGUAAAGCUGCCCCCACCUCCUCCGGAAAUGAAUAAUUUUGUGCCUCUCAGUAUGGCGAAGAUGUCUGCUGUCACUCUGUAUGAGGUGCCACAUGCAAUCCAGUAGAGGCAGACAGACAGACCUUCUUUGAAUUGCCCUUCUGAGAUUUCUUCCUUUUUUUUCUCCUACCAAUGUUUUUCCUUAUCUCCAUGAAGUUUAAGAUCAUGGGGUGUUUGAGACAUGUAAUGGGCUAAACAAAUGAACUUUACUUGAUUCAUUGUACAAGGCUUAUCAGACUUGUUUUAUCUAUAAAUGUGAGUGUGAACCUCUUUUGAUGUAAAGUAAGUGUGUGGUACAGUAAUUUCAUUUACUCAAAUAAAUCA